GACGAACGCUGGCGGCGUGCUUAACACAUGCAAGUCGAACGGUAAGGCCCUUCGGGGUACACGAGUGGCGAACGGGUGAGUAACACGUGGGUGAUCUGCCCUGCACUUCGGGAUAAGCCUGGGAAACUGGGUCUAGUACCGGAUAGGACUCCUGGCUUCCUGGUUGGGGGUGGAAAGCUUUUGCGGUGUGGGAUGGGCCCGCGGCCUAUCAGCUUGUUGGUGGGGUAAUGGCCUACCAAGGCGACGACGGGUAGCCGGCCUGAGAGGGUGACCGGUCACACUGGGACUGAGAUACGGCCCAGACUCCUACGGGAGGCAGCAGUGGGGAAUAUUGCACAAUGGGCGCAAGCCUGAUGCAGCGACGCCGCGUGAGGGAUGACGGCCUUCGGGUUGUAAACCUCUUUCAGCUACGACGAAGCGCAAGUGACGGUAGUAGCAGAAGAAGGACCGGCCAACUACGUGCCAGCCGCCGCAGUAA
rnacentral:rRNA from 1 species